GCCAGGCAUGGCGGCACAUGCCUGUAGUACCAGCUAUUCUGGAGGCUGAGACUGAAGGAUUGCUUGAGUCCAGGAGUUUCAGGCUGCAGUAAGCUAUGCUCAUAGGGUGCCCCCACUAAGUUCAGCAUCAAUAUGGUGACCUUCUAGAAACCAGGGAUUACCAGAUUGCCUAAGGCGGGGUGAACCGGUGCAGUUUGGAAAUAAAGCAGGCCAAAACCCCAGUGCUGAUCAGUAGUGGGACUGUGCCUGUGGAUAGCCACUGCACUGCAGCCUGGCAACGUAGUGAAAUCCAAUCUCUC
ensembl:misc_RNA Metazoa_SRP Metazoan signal recognition particle RNA